ensembl:lncRNA
AGGAACCCACAGCCCCCUAUCCAACUCACUUGACCAGACACACUCAGGAGAACAAGAUGUUCUGCUGUUGUGUCCUGAAUUGCAGAGGCACUGGGCUGGCGAAAGCCCAGAGUGAAAGGCUCUUCUGUUGCUGUAGACAUUGGCUCAGCCCUCAUCCCUGAUACCACUGGCCAUUUGGCAGGAGGUACCCAAAGGUAACACAGGGCAGACCAGGGCAAGCCAAUGUGGGACAGGCCACAUUAUGAUCCCAGUGGAGCAGCCCCACACCCCGUGCCCCUCAUCGUGUGUGUGUGUGUGUGUGUGUGUGUUUGUGUGUGUGUGAGUGGAGGAGGGAAAGCAAGGGAUGAAUGGCAUGCUCUUCUUGGGCAGGAGCAGGUUGUUAGGUAUUGGAGGCCUGGUGGACCUGUUGUGUUCAUACCCCAGGUCAUGGCUGACAGCAUAAGGUGAGCCCCUCUACUCAUAUGUGACCCAAGUCAUAUUAUUCCCUCCCUGACUAGAGUUCUUUGCAGAUGCCACUCUGUGCCUGAACUAGGAAACAGAAAUUCUCAUGGGGUUGCCCCCCCUGUGACAAUAUCCAGGCAGGCCUCGAUGCCUCCUAGCCUCUCUAUUGAGCAGUAUUUUUGCAAAAUUCCACUCAGACAUCAUCAAGGAGCUGUCCAAUGGGUCCAACUGCUCUAACUCCCUAGACAACGAUCAGGUGCACCAGGCCUCCAACACCAUCCACUGGUCUGAGGUGAAAAUGGGUGGAGAGGGAUCUCCAUACCCAAGACCCUGAGAUGAUCAGGGUGGCCCAGAAUUCUGACUCAAAGCUAGGGACUCCCCUGGGGCCCUCCCAGACCUUUCCAACAUGAGUGUCCCACAUGCCAGAUCCCAAAGGAAUCUGGACCUCCACAUGUAACUCACCCACUACAUGGUAGAGUAGAAAUAUACUCCUCACUUUCUUGUUGGAAUGGUAGAGAAAAUAUUUAAUGUUGCUUUCACUUUUCACAAGGCCGCUUUUUAAGAGCAUCAGCAUUUUGCCACUGUUUUGAUUUUUUUAAUGACUCACUCCAGGUAUCCUGUGGAACAAUCAGCUCCACUGUCCUUGCAGAGCUUCUCCAAGCCUUACAAAUCAUCACACUUCAGAGGGUGACUUCUACACAAAGGAGGGGCGUGGGAUUACUUGAUUCUAUACAUUUCUCUGCAACUUGUCACCUCACAGAACACAUCUAAUCAUUGUAGGUCUGUCAGAUCAGGAGCUGUGGCUUUAUGUGACUUCACAAUAUCUCAUAAAGGAAGUCAUUUGCCACAGCAAUUCAACCUUUCAAUGUUGUUGGACCUUGACAUGAUUCAAUUCUGUUGCCAUUUCAGCAGUGCUGCAGGGAACAUCUGAAGUGUGUCCUCAUAGCCUGUUAGUUUACUAGGUCUGCCAUAACAUAGAACCACCAAUUGGGUGGAAAGUCCCUGAUGCUUACUGGCCCAGCACCAGGCUCUGUCUUAGUAGAGCUCCACCCAGGACAUCGUCGAGGAGCCGAUUGAUGGCUUCAACUACUCCACCUCCCUAGACAAGGGGCAGAUGCAUCUGGCAACCAACAACAGCCAACCGUGAUCUUGGGAGUCAACUCUGGCACAGGAUGAGACCUGCACAACGCAGACCCCCAAGACAAGGCAUAACAGAGAAGCUAGCAGAGGCCCUGGUACCAGCCUUCCUGGAUGGAAACAUCUCCUACAUCACCACCUUCUCAUCCACGUACCAUUGCCACCUUCACCACCACCCAACAGGUCCUGGACCAGCUGUUCCACAGGUCCUGUCCACCAUACAUCCCACAUGAUGCCCUUGUAGCCUCUUCAACAUUUGGAGGCAUCUUCCCAUAUUCUGACCAGGAUGACAGACCAUGGACCACCUGAAAAAGUGAGCGGUGUUUGGGUCCAGAAGGAAGACCUUCUGUUUCUACAGAACAAGGUAGGGGGAGUGUACGGGGGCUAUGGCUGGGGUGGACCUAGCAGAAACCUGCUCUCAUCUUUUGAUUCCCAUGAGAGGUUUGAGGUUUGAUGGCUUCCAUUCCAGGAGGACAGGAGUCAAAGAGAAUUGUGGAUGGGUUCCCAGUCCAUCAGGAACCAGGGAGGAGGUUGGGCUGGGUUGUCUCCUAGAGACCCAUCCCCACUACAGUCGCAUCUCGAUCUUCCUCCCCUUCUCCACAUCCACCUCUUUGACCACCACCACCAGGUCCAGAACAGAAGGUGUGUGAGCAACCUGCUCACAAAUCUGCCUGAGUCCUCAGUCCAGUUGCCCAAGUGCAUGGAGGGCUGAGGUGGGCCUUCUCCAGGCCCUUCGGGAGAAGAGUGUCAGUGGGAGAAGAGACUCACACAGACUCUGUGUUCAACCUGCUGGAUGAACAGGCCUGCCACUGCCAGGACAGCCACACAGGGGUCGGGGCUGAGAUGGGGCUCUCUCCUAGAUGGGAAGGGGCAGGCAUAGGGGCCCAGACCCAAACAAGUGUGCCUUGGGAGGACCGUGUGGAAGGAAAGGCCAGGCCUCUGACUCGGCAGCCCAACUGCCUUCCCCCAGUGCUAUCCUUUCUAUGGUGGGAACCUGGCUGAACCAAGUGCAGGAUUUCUGGGAACCCCUGCACUUUCCCUAUUUCAAGCUGAAGCUGGCCUAUGUGUGUGUCAAUUUGCCUGGCUUGGACCUGGAGAGCCAUGCUGACCUUCUCUGGGUUCAGCUAGGGCAUCUGGAGCCUACUGAGGCAGAGCUGGAAGGAGAGAGGACUGCAGUCUGGGAAGACUAUCUGUGCUGUGGUGCAGGAGCUGCAGUUCCCUUAAAGGCAGUGGAGUCUGUCUCUUUGGAAAGGCACAAGGAAAGUCAGGUAUGUGGGUGAAACUUCUCUUUAUCCCACUCCAGUGCCAGCUCCAGAGCUCCCGCCAGCUCCAGAGCCAGAGGAAGGCCCAGCUCCUGGGUUAAAGCCAGCUCCAGCUCUAGUUUCCCCACCUGUACUAGAGCUGGAGUGAGCAGGGCCUCCAUCAGCCCCUCCUGGGCUAGAGCAAGCACCACCAUUAAAUUCAGCCCCAGUGCCAGCUCCUGAGCUGGAGCCAGAUGGACAAUGGACUCUCCUGUGACUUACACCUCCAGCUGCAGAAAUAACAAGAGAGCCAGAUCCAGCCCCGGAGCCCACCUGCUUCUGGGCUGUGACCACCAAGAAACUGCUGAGGGAGGAAAAGCCUAACCUCUUGAAGUUCCCUCCCCAGCUGGUGGCAGAGCAGCUGACGAGGAUGGAUGUGGUGCACAGUGGGGCUCUCAGGGCAGGUGGGGCCUGCCUUCCCUGUGCCGUCAGCUGCCUCGGACCUGCCAUUCCCUGAUCCAGAAUCCAAUGAUCUGGGUCCAAAUCCCAGCUCCUCCACUUACCAACCCUAGGACCUGGGCAGCUUUCUUAACCCCCAAGCCUUUGCUGUCCCUACGUGGACAGUAGAGAUGGACACUAUGAGCACCUGCUGCAGAGUGGCUGUGCAGAUGAAUGAGGUACAACAGAGAGGGAGUUGGGCAGUCUGGCCCUUUGGUCGGGGAGGGGAGCUCACUGAAGUACUGCCAGAUCCUUGGGUCCAUCACCCAUUUGCCCAGGAGGCCUCAACAGCCUCGGCAUUUAUUAGGCACCUGAUAUGUACUUUCCUACAUGGAAGACAAACAAACAAAGCCCAUGGUUGUUGCUGCCUCGGGGGAAUGUGUAUCUGAAUGGGGAGUCAGACAAGAGGGUGAUCAGAAUGGGUGGAAGAUGCCCCUUGACACGGGCAGGUGUGAGCUGUUCUGGUCGUUGGAGGAAGUGAGACUGGGCUGGGAGCAAAUGCCUCUUCCCAUCCCCACAGUGUUGUGUCCUGGGUCAUCCUGUGCUGGGUACCCUCAGUGGACAGAGGCAAAAUCCAGGGACUCCCACAAGCCUCAGGCCACAUCCUCAGCUUCCUGAGCUCCAGCUCUGACCACUUACCCUGCCUGGGACUGUGGGAAAACUCUGGAUGCUGAGCUUGGGUGUGGCAGGGCCGGGAGACACUCCCCAAUCUCCUCAGGAACCAUUCAAGAAGGCAGUGCCCUGCCAUUACCUGCACAUCAUCUGGUUCUGGCAGGAUGUCAGGGAAAAUGAGUACUUGGCACCCACCAUCCAUGCCACCCUACACACUUCAUCACUGUGGCCAACUGCAUCAUCACCACUGGCCUCAGGGACCCGAGCAUGAUGACCCAGGACACGGGCAGGGUGGUGGAGCUCUGGAUGCAGAUGGCCAAGAUAAGUCAUGGGAGGCCAGGAAGGCCCUCUCCGCCUCUUCUGCUUUCUCAACUCUCAGGAUUGAAUCUGUGGUCUGAGCCCCUGCACAGUCCCUAGGCCCCUCCUGCCAAGGCCACACUGACCUUGACUCCUGGUCCCAGUGGUGGCAAGCUCACUUCCCUCCUGGGCUUCCUCCUUGGGUUGAGCUAUCCCUGGGAGUGUUACUCAUCAGGUCCCAGGUUUGCCCUCCCUGGGUUCCUUGGGCAUCUGUCUCAUUGAGGACAGGAGAUGUCCACGAGGGGACAGAGGCCAGAGGAAGCAGGGCACUAGCUCCCCCUCACAGCUCACUCUCUUCCCUUCCCCAGGUGUGCUGAGUCCUAAGGAGUUUCUCCUCACUGCAUGCCAUCGUCUCUGCUCUGCAGAACCCCUCGAUUCAUGGUCUGAAGAAGACAGGUUUCCAGGAGGCAACCUCCAUGAUGAUCACCCUGCAGAUCGGCCCCCCAGGGAGCCCAGGAGGGUACCUGUGGGGGAGGGGCCCAGGAGUCAGAGGAGAGGGGGCUCCCCCCCUCUAAGCUGCAGGUGUCCACCAGGAGAGGGGCCUUCCUCCGCCAGCCCAGCUCCUGGUGCCACAGAGCCUGAAAGGCCUGCAUUUGAAGUGACCAAGAGGAGGUUUGGAAGGGCUGGGUGCAGGAUGGAUUUGGGGUGGGGAGGGGCAGGGACCAUAUACCCUGGGAUUUGCCAAAAGCCAGCCCUGGGAGGUGAGCGGCGUGGUGCCUCUGGAGGGGAGAGGAGGGGGAAUUGGGGAGAGGCUGCUAAAGGUCCUGCAGUGCUCUAAGUGGGAGCCUGGGGUGGCCAGGAGGCUUGAGUGAGGGAUUUUAGAGGAGGGUCUUUGGGGUCCCCUGAGAGCAGAGGCUCAUCACCACCCCCACCGCAAUGGCACAGGGUGUUGCCCCCUUCCUUGGCACAUAAUUCAGUUACCUGCAGUUGCUGGAAAAUGUGAUGGAGGAUUAUCUGGAGAUGAGUGAGCCUGGAGGUGGGGCCAGGAGAUGAGGAUCCUGAGGUUUGGGAGGAGAGAGCCCCACAGUGAGCCCUGAGCUCUCAGCACUUGGCAAACCUCCUCUCACGAAAGCCUCACAGCCACCCCUGGGAGCCGGGGCCUCAGGACCAUCUUAGCAAUGAAUGAACUGAGGACCCACAUAAGCUGCCAUCCAGCUUCUCUGGGCUGGUGAAGCUCAGAGCUGCCUGACUGCAGAGCUGCAGGAGGUUGUGCCUGAGCUGGACUCAGCCUCUCCCUCAGGCUCUGUUCAUGGAGGGAGUGAAGUCAGGCCCCUCCAAGUCAGGAAAUAUAUCAAUGGUUGAGCUGUCCCUUCCUGCCUGAGGCCUCAGUCUCCCCAUCUGUCAUCAGAGAGGGUUGGGUUACAAGGUCUCUGGCCUCGGCUCCCCUGUCCCCCCUGCUGUGGAGCCCAGAGGCUGGCGCAGGUCCCAGUCCUAUUUCCAGAAGUGCCUGCCCCCAAGCAGUAGUGCAACAUGAGAAGAGGUGGGGAUGGGGGCUAGUUAUGGGCUAAGUGAGCUGUUUCUCAUGGACUUUGGCUGUCUGCCUUCCAGAACAAUGUAAUCAACUUCCAGAAAUGUGAUGAGGUAAGCAGCUGUGGCCUCACUGUGGGACAGUGGGGGUGUGGAAAUCAGAGACCCUCUUGGACAAGACCCUCUCUGGACCCAUCCCUUGGGUCUUAUAUUUAUUGAGAGAGUUAGAUACACAGGGCUGGGGAUCCCAUCACAUUGGCGGGUGGGGGAAGGGGCUGGCAUCAAGGACAUUUUCCUGAGGAGGAACUAUUUCAACCCAAGGAUGAGAACAGGCAAGUCCUGGAUGGAAUUGGGGGGAAGGAGGGUUCCCAAGUGGGCAAAGACCCCAGACUGGUUCCCUGCCCCUCUCCUCACUCCCUACAAGACCCCUGCAGGAUCCCCUACCAGCAGGCCCUGUCUGCAUCCUGUCCUUCCUGUGUCCCAGCAAUUGAAAGUAACUGAAGACAUCUUGCUACUCCAGGAGACUGAGAAUCAUUACAACCUUGAGCCCCAGGAGCAAUUUGGGUCCUGGUUUCAGCCCACGGAGCCCCUUAGUGAGGAUAAGAGCUACAGCCUUGUCCUGCCAGCUGGAGCCCCCAUUCCAGUGGGCCAGCAAGAUUUGACUGUUCUUCAAGGCCAAGAAGAACCCUCCAUUUCAAGCUCAGGUCACCAGGUCCUCAGCACAGAGCAUGGACAAGAGGCAGACAACACUCCUGAGACCAGAUCAAGUGGAGCCUCUUCCUCGGCAGUGGGGAGACAGCUGAGACACUCAGGGUGCACUGGGCCAGCUUCCACCCUGAUGGGAAGGAGAACAUUGUAAGCCUUUUCCUUGGAUCCCUGAAGCCCGAGAGACAGAGGACGACCUGCCCCAACUCCCUGACAUCUGCACCCCAGCACCUAUUUACUCAUUGGGGAGGGGCAAUACUUACUUGUUGUUAGCAGUAAAUAUUAGAUUUGAAUAUUAUAUUAAAAUCCCGUUUCUUUGAUA